rnacentral:siRNA from 1 species
CGGGUCGUGCCUCCGGCGCUGU